rnacentral:tRNA from 1 species
GAGGGGAUAGCUCAGUGGAAGAGUGUGUGCUUUGCACACACACAAGGUCCUGGGUUCAACCCCCAGUACCUCUA